UGAACGCUGGCGGCGUGCCUAAUACAUGCAAGUCGAGCGAACGGACGAGAAGCUUGCUUCUCUGAUGUUAGCGGCGGACGGGUGAGUAACACGUGGAUACCCUACCUAUAAGACUGGGAUAACUUCGGGAAACCGGAGCUAAUACCGGAUAAUAUUUUGAACCGCAUGGUUCAAAAGUGAAAGACGGUCUUGCUGUCACUUAUAGAUGGAUCCGCGCUGCAUUAGCUAGUUGGUAAGGUAACGGCUUACCAAGGCAACGAUGCAUAGCCGACCUGAGAGGGUGAUCGGCCACACUGGAACUGAGACACGGUCCAGACUCCUACGGGAGGCAGCAGUAGGGAAUCUUCCGCAAUGGGCGAAAGCCUGACGGAGCAACGCCGCGUGAGUGAUGAAGGUCUUCGGAUCGUAAAACUCUGUUAUUAGGGAAGAACAUAUGUGUAAGUAACUGUGCACAUCUUGACGGUACCUAAUCAGAAAGCCACGGCUAACUACGUG
rnacentral:rRNA from 1 species